rnacentral:rRNA from 1 species
GAUGAACGCUGGCGGCGUGCCUAAUACAUGCAAGUCGAGCGAACGGACGAGAAGCUUGCUUCUCUGAUGUUAGCGGCGGACGGGUGAGUAACACGUGGAUAACCUACCUAUAAGACUGGGAUAACUUCGGGAAACCGGAGCUAAUACCGGAUGAUAUUUUGAACCGCAUGGUUCAAAAGUGAAAGACGGUCUUGCUGUCACUUAUAGAUGGAUCCGCGCUGCAUUAGCUAGUUGGUAAGGUAACGGCUUACCAAGGCAACGAUGCAUAGCCGACCUGAGAGGGUGAUCGGCCACACAGAAACUGAGACACGGUCCAGACUCCUACGGGAGGCAGCAGUAGGGAAUCUUCCGCAAUGGGCGAAAGCCUGACGGAGCAACGCCGCGUGAGUGAUGAAGGUCUUCGGAUCGUAAAACUCUGUUAUUAGGGAAGAACAUAUGUGUAAGUAACUGUGCACAUCUUGACGGUACCUAAUCAGAAAGCCACGGCUAACUACGU